UACAGAGGUCUCAAGCGUUGUUCGGAUUCAUUGGGCGUAAAGGGUGCGUGGGUGGCGCCAUAAGUCAGGUGUGAAAUCUCGGGGCUCAACCCCGAAACUGCACUUGAUACUGUGGUGCUGGAGUACUGGAGAGGAGAUUGGAAUUUACGGUGUAGCAGUGAAAUGCGUAGAUAUCGUAAGGAAGACCAGUGGCGAAGGCGAAUCUCUGGACAGUUACUGACACUGAGGCACGAAGGCCAGGGGAGCAAACGGG
rnacentral:rRNA from 1 species